rnacentral:piRNA from 1 species
UAAAGUAGGGUUCAACUUUCUAAUUUC